rnacentral:lncRNA from 1 species
CCUUUUUUAGGAACUGAAAGGUUUGGGGAAGAGGUCAUAAAAGAAAUGUGCCUUAGUGUGUUGUUGUUGUUGUUGUUUUGUUUGUUGUGUGUGUGUGUGUUUAAAGUAACAAAUUAUAUGAGAGUAAGCAAGAGAGCUAAGAGGAAAAAAAAAACCCUAAAAGUCUGUGCUCAGUUUGCCUUUCAAGGGUCUUUUAAGCUACACUUCAUUUUAAAGAAACCCAAACUGGGAAAUUGUGGGUGAUAUUUUAUAGCUAUUUUGGGUCAAGAGAGAUAAAGUGGGACUCGAAUGGGAUGGCAGCCAAAGAGUAAGCAGUCCUAGAGCCCAGUGGGACUUGAUUCUGCUUUGAUGGCCUGGGAACAAACUCUCCACUGGAGCCUUCAGAAGGGAACUGGCCCAGUCAACACCUUGAUUUUGACCUUGGGAGACGAGACACAAAGAAACCAGCUGAGCCCACUGAACUUUUGACCUACAGAAUUAUGAGAUAAUAAAUUUGUGCCGUUUUUUCCCCAAGUCAGUAAUAAUUUGAUAAGGCAGCAAUAGAACGCUAACACAGCAACCACUCCAUCUACUUAUGGAUAUACUGGGAUUACCCUUCCCAUUUGGUCCAAGACCUUCUUCUUUACACACGUCUUAGUCUGGCAUGUUGGGUGUUGCCUGAGCCUCCCUUUCAAAACUCACCUCCCAGACAAACCAUCAGCCCCAGUCAUGUUCUUGGCCUUCUAACUGCCUGUGAAGGUCCAACCUGUCUUUCAAGGCCAUCUUGACAGAGAUGCAGGUAAUCUGCUUCUGUGGCCACCAGAGCCUUGGGGGGACCCUCAUCCCUGUUGUCCAUUUGGCCCUUGUCUUCUCUGAUAGUGCAGGUUCUUCCCACUAUUUUGUGUCCAGCAGAAAGAUGAACACAUUAUACAUGAUCCAUGUGCUUCCUUGAGGGAUGGGGUUUUAGCUGAGAGAGCCAUAGGUUCCCAGGCCAGGGGUCCAAUUGGAGCUGUAGUCACCAGCCUACACCACAGCCACAGCCACAGCAAUGCUGGAUCCGAGCCAUGUCUGCAACCUAUACCACAGCUCAUGGCAAUGCUGGAUCCUUUACCCACUGAGCAAGGCCAGGGAUCAAACCCACAACCUCAUGUAGGAACUCUGGUUCCUAGUCAGAUUCCUUAACCACUGAGCCACAGUGGGAACUCCAUUUGAUCUCUUCUUAAAGCAUCUUGUAAGUGACUUCUUUAAAUGAUCUUGGUACCCCAUAGGUUUGGGUUCCAAAGGCUGGUCUCUCCCUGGACACAGAGCUUUGCCCCUUGGGAUUGUGGCUGUUGCUGAUGCUGACAUGUAAUCUGUAAUGCUUUAUGAGCGUGGCUUAGAGCUCAGAGCAUCCCUGCAGUACCAGCACAAGAGGAUGCCUCCCAGGGAGAGUUGGCAGGAUGUUGGGAUGGGGAGUAGCAGCCAGAGACUUUGUUGAAAGCAUCAGAUUUUUCUCCACUGCAGCUAUCUAUUCUUCAUUCCUUGCUAAUGGGAUAAUUUGAUCGAUGAAUGCACUGUGAAAAGGCAAGAGAUGCAUAAAAAGUGUGAAAGCUCACAGCCACAAAUGAGUGGGCAGAUUUACCACCUUCUCCCCAGAAUCAAAUCUGUCUGCCAUCCGCACUGGGUAUGAGACAGGCAGAUCCAAGCUUUGGUUUAAUUACACAUAAUUUGGGUGACAGCUGAAAUGCAAACCUAAACAUUCAAUCAGUUAAAGAUACACAAAAUUAAGCAUUUCACACAGUGUCCAACCCCUUCAAUCUUUAUUAAUACUUUAAUUAUGUUAAUUAUACCAUGGUUUCAAGCCCUGCUAUGACAAUAAGCAGGGGGUGGAGGUGGGGGAAGAGGCGGCCUCUUCUGAGCAAUAGAACUAAGUAAUGAGUGCAUUCGAAUUAAAAGUAUGAAUGGAAUGCAAAGUAGCCAAGAAUUACAAAUACAUUAUUCAGCAAUUUACCCUGUUGGCACUCCUUUCCUCCAUAGUGACUGGCAGUGUUGCUGGAGGGGGGCCCAAGUCUGACUCAUUCUGAGUGCCCUGUAGAUAGUAAGUGCUCAGUAAACAUCUAUGAAUGAAUCUGGAAUCAAAGGUGGUGAAAACGUACCCAUAGAGAUAGAAGGAACUGAGCAGGCUUGGGAGAUAUAUUUUGAAGGUGGCAAAGACCAAAAGGCUGAGGACUAUUUGUAGGAGGAGGUGAUGAUGGAGAGGUGGGGGCAGGAGGAAGAGAGAGGGGAACAGAAGAUGACUAGGGAUGCGGAAGUUCACCUUUACUUCUUCCAAGUCACUUCAGUUCUCUGGGCUCAUUUCCCCCCUCUGUCUUUGGCAAAUAAAGAAGGAGAUUCGACCUUAAUGUUUUCCAAAUUCUCUUCUCUUAGAACCCUCAAAAGUAUUAUCAGAGACUGUGUUAUAUAAGUGCCUUGGGGGGUGGGGGACUGUAGGGAAACAGCUCUGCUUUUAUUGUAUAUUUUAUGUAGUGAAUGUCAAGAUUUUCUUUCUCAAAGUUGCCAAUCAGUGGUUUAACAACUCUUUAAAUGUCAUGGCCUUUUCACGCCCAGCCCACCCACUCACAAAGCCCAUAUUGGGGCAUCUUCCACCACUGAUCCAGCUCUCCAUCUGUUUUUCUCUUCAUCCUGGGUGUGUGGGAUCCCUUGGCUCAUCUGCUUCCCAGCCCCCAUGUGACUUUACUUAUCUCUCCUGUCUUUGCUCAUCUUGUACAGCCUGCCUAAAUUCUCCUUCCUCCUCCCUGAAUCUAUGGACAUCAUAGGUCACUAAGCCAGGGUCAGAUCUUCUUCCUCUGGGAAAUCCCCCUAGAGGGCACUAGUCAAGAGUACUUUCUCCUCUUUAUGAAUUUCUCUGGCUCUUGCUUGUCUGAUCCACAUUCCUGCCCUCCCCCCUUUUUUGUUCCUCUGUGUACAUCUUAUCUUCCUGACUAGAUUAUCAAUUCUCAAGUUGGGAAACACUCAGGCUUCUUUUGUGGUUUUUCUUCUACUUUGUCUCAGACUAGACACACAGACAACUACUCAAUAAGUCCUCCUUACCUUCCACAUCUAAAAAGUAUUCGAAAGGGGGUUAACCACAUAAAAUCAAGUGAUCCUCUAGCCAGAGAGAAUUCAAUUGCCCAAACGACAGCAAUCAAUAACUGUACUGUAGAUUUUUGACCUGAUAGGUGGCUGAGCUGAAACAAAAAUAACAUUUGAGUGACUUGUACCAAAUAGGUUUUUAAGGCUUUGGUAGGCUGACAUAUACAGAAUUAUCAGUUAUUGGGAGUGUCUUCUGCACAUCACCAGAGAAAACCUGGGAGAUCGGUAAAUCUGAGAUAGAAAUGCAGUGCUUACUUCAGAGAGCAAUUUCUGGUCUUUGUUCUUGAUGACAGCUGUUUCUGUGACUAGCCCUUUGCCCACGGUAGUCUUAGUUGAGCUCAAUAUCUUCAGAACUUUAUACAUCAGCCUCAUAUUUUCUGACAAUUGGCACUAUAAUUCUUCCUGGAGCAGAAAAUUGGUAUCAGACCUCUCUGUGGGCAUCUUGGUGGUCACCUCAAGUUGGUGUCUUACAACUUCUUAACCAUGAAUCCUACAAGUCACCAGUGUGGGGGCUAAUGUUAAAAAAGGCAGGAGUUCCUGUUGUGGCUCAGAAGGUUAAGAAUCCCCCCCCCAAUAUUGUCUCUGUGAGGAUGUGGGUUCGAUCCUUGGCCUCACUCAGUGGGUUAAGGGUCCAAUGUUGCUGCAAGCUGUGUUGUAGACCUACAGCUGCUGUUCCUAUAUUCAACCCCCAGCCCAGGAAUUUCCUUGUGAUGCAGCUUUGGUUGU